UUGUUGCAAAUAUAUCAUGAUAUACUUGCCAGCUUUUGGAUGCUUCGUAAUACGGUGCAAUUAUUAGCAAUAAUAAUUCCUGGGUGUUCUUUUUUGUUCACAAAGUUGACAGGCAUAUAUCCAUCUCAUCCGCCUACAAUUAACACAAUCACCAUUAUCUUUGCAAACAAUAACCUGCCUUCGAAUUUUGAUGUAUCUUGUUGAUUUUUAAAAUUUGAGUUCUUUUGGAUGGCUUUUCAGAAAAGGAUACUUUUUACUUUUUUUUUAACUGAACUGAGAUACUUUUUACUACCCGCAAACUUAUGUCAGUAUUGUUGUAUACUCGUAUUUUGUAGUCAAUCUGCAUGACUGUCCUGAUGUUAGGCACAGAAAGUAGCAACUACAUGUUUUAACCCUCCUUUUUAAUCCAAUCGUUCAAUUUGUGCAGCUGAGAGGACACACACAUCGGUGCUACAGUAAAAGCCAGUAGAUUCUUCUGGGAGGAUCAAUGAUGAAGCCAUACCCUAAUCCUGCCAUUGCUGUCUGCUUCGGUAGUUGAGCUGCAACUGUGGAAGGAGAGUUGGUGCAAGUUUGUCUGCAGAAAUGCAUUGUCAAGUCACAAUAUCUUUGAUACCAUACAAUUAUUUCGUGUUUAGAUA